AUUUGUUGCUAUGCUUUGGAAUGCUUCUAUUCUCAGGUCAUGCGCUGCUUUUACUUUGCUACAGGGACUGAUCUCGUGUCGAAGAGGGUGCAUCCAAUAGGCAGAUCGUCAGCCGUAGUUCUACAACUCAUCGAGUCUACCCAAAACAAGGCCAUAAACUCAACAAAGUGACUCGACUAAAGUCAUGGGACUCAUCCUAAUCAUUUUUUUCAUCCAAUAGGUAUUUUCUCUUGCUUUAAACGUUGUUCUAUAACAGUGUUUGUAAUUAUCAUUUUCCUUCCUAUAGUAGAUAGCUGAACAAGAUUCAUCUCAAUUUUUUGAAUAGGAUUCUUAUUAAACAA